rnacentral:rRNA from 1 species
AACGAACGCUGGCGGCAUGCCUAACACAUGCAGGUCGAACGAGACCUUCGGGUCUAGUGGCGCACGGGUGCGUAACGCGUGGGAACCUGCCCUUAGGUUCGGAAUAACUCCCCGAAAGGGGUGCUAAUACCGGAUAAUGUCUUCGGACCAAAGAUUUAUCGCCUUUGGAUGGGCCCGCGUUGGAUUAGCUAGUUGGUAGGGUAAAAGCCUACCAAGGCGACGAUCCAUAGCUGGUCUGAGAGGAUGAUCAGCCACACUGGGACUGAGACACGGCCCAGACUCCUACGGGAGGCAGCAGUGGGGAAUAUUGGACAAUGGGCGAAAGCCUGAUCCAGCAAUGCCGCGUGAGUGAUGAAGGCCUUAGGGUUGUAAAGCUCUUUUACCCGGGAUGAUAAUGACAGUACCGGGAGAAUAAGCUCCGGCUAACUCCGU